UACGUAGGGCGCAAGCGUUAUCCGGAAUUAUUGGGCGUAAAGAGCUCGUAAGGCGGUUUGUCGCGUCUGCCGUGAAAGUCCGGGGCUCAACUCCGGAUCUGCGGUGGGUACGGGCAGACUAGAGUGAUGUAGGGGAGACUGGAAUUCCUGGUGUAGCGGUGAAAUGCGUAGAUAUCAGGAGGAACACCUGUGGCGAAAGCGGCAUCCUGGACCGACAUUGACGCUGAUGAGCGAAAGCUAGGGGAGCAAACGGG
rnacentral:rRNA from 1 species